GCCUGGGCGACAGAGCGAGACUCUGUCUCAAAAGAAAAAAAAUGUAAGCAAAUGCUCACUUUACUGGUAACUGAAGCUAGAGUAAAAUAUUUACAAAUGUUUAUAUGUAUUAUUGUGUGCAUGAGAAGGAGAAAGAGAGAGAGAGUGAGUUUGGGUGGGUGAGUAAAGAUUGAUGAGAAUACUGAAGUAUAUGAGUCAUUAGACAGGUGAGAAGACCCAGUGUCAAGCAGAAUUGUAUCCAGCCGCUAUGAGGAUUACUAGGAAAAACUGAGAAACUGUUACUUGUAAUCAAGGAUGGCUGCAUAAGUUGCAGACGCCGGUGUCAAGUGAAAAUACAUGGCCUAUUUUUUUUUAAAGCAGGAAAAAUUUGUGGUUAUAGUACACAAAACUUUUGAUUUGUUCCCGCAGUCCUGCUCUCAAAUUGAUUUUUUAAAUUUGUUUUAAUAUUACUCUAAAGAAGAAAAAAUUAAAAUGUCAAUCAUUAGCUUAAAUUUUACCUUUUGUCCUUGUGUUGUACAACGCCAAUUCUAAAGGCAAAUAGCAUGUUUAAUUCAUGUGAUAUCACGACCAGGACAAUUUCUAUUUCAUGGCUUGUCCCUGGAGGGUGUGUCAAGCUGGCUACAGAAACAAAUAUGAGCUGAAUCUGGGAAGAUUGGAAGAAGGCACCUUGAGCAUGGGGAAUCUCACUGGUUCUAGAGGUUGGAUGUCCAAAGUCAAGUUGUUGGUGGGGCCAUGCUCCCGAAACCUGUACAGAAGAAUUCUUCCUUGCCUGUUCCUAGCUUCUGAAAAUUGCCAUCAACCUUUGUCAUUCCUUGGCUUUCAACUGUAUCACUCCAAUCUCUACCUCUGUUGUUACAUGCCUUUCCUCUUGUCAUAAGGACACUAGUCAUGUUUGAUUAGGGUCUCCCCUAAUGAUUUCAUCUUGACUACAUCUACAAAGACCCUAUGUCCAAAUAAGAUCACCUUCACAGGUACCAGUGUUAAGACUUCAACAUAUCUUUUUGGAGGACACAAUUCAACCUAUAAGUGUUCCAAGGAGAGUGACAAUUCUGCACUUUGAUUCUCCACCUGGCUCUGUCUCUGCCAUACUUAAUUAUCUAAGGAAGACAACUCACCUCUUGGAACUUCAGUUGCUGUUUCUGUAAGAUGAGAGCAAUGCCUUUCUUUGGCUUUGGAUCUAUGUGAACAUACAAAGCAUUAACAAAUGGACAUGAACUCUGAAAAACUCUCAUAUGUGGAUGCCUUCAAUGCAGUUCACUCUGUAUAUGUACAUCUCCAAAUUAUAACUCUUUUUUCUUUUGAGCAAAUUAAAGCAAGAAGUGCUUUAUUUCUAACACAUAGGAAAGUCUCGGUCACCACAGGCCAAAAGGCGGGAUUGACAGUAAGAACAUGAAAAACAACACAGAUGUAUUUCAUUUUGGAGGAGUCUGGGAAAAUGAACUAACUUAGUCAACAUGAUCUACUCAGUCCAUAUGAGGAAAAGAAAACACACACACACACAAACACACACACAAAAUUACAAUUUACUCUAAAAUUUCUGAUCAAUUUGUCGCUGUGCAGUCACUUUGUUCCCACAAUAUCUUAUUCAAAGACUUUCUGGUGACCUAAAUCUGUCAUUUUCUCCUAAGAGUACCUGUUUUCUAUCUUGUCUUUGGGCUCCAGCUACUCUUUACGUUCACUGUUGAUUACCAUCAGUGAUAAUUUGGGGUGACAAGCAACAUGUUUCCAAACAAAGGGGAUGAAUGGCUCGGCAUUUGAGAAAGACUAAAAAAAAAAUAGGUCUGAAACGAUGCAAACUGGGAUAAUGUAUUCUCAAAGGCUUAAAGUAAUGGAUACGAAUCAAGAGUGGCAACAGAAAUCUUGAAAAUGAACAAAGAAGAACUCAUAUUUUCUGAUUUUGAAGUGUAUUUCAAAGCUAAAGCAAUCAAGACAGUGUGGAACUGGCAUAAAGACAGACAUAGAGAUCAAUGAAAUUGAAUUGAGAGGCCAGAAAUAGACUCUUACAUUAAUAGCCAAUUGAUUUCCAACAAAGCUGCUAAGAUAAUAUGAAGAGAGAAAUAAUGGUCUUUUUAACAAAUGGUGCUGGGACAGUGGAAUAGUCACAUGCAAAAGAGUGAAAUUGGACAUCUGGUUCAUGUCAUAUACAAAAAUUAAGUAAAAAUGGAUCACAGACCUAAAUGUUAAAAAGCUAACUCUAUAAAACUGUUAGAAGAAAGCAUGGGAUGAAACCUCUGUGACUUUGGGUUAGGAAAUGGUUUUAUUUAUUUAUUUAUUUAUUCAUUUAUAAUAAUUAUUAAUAUUUUUAAGUGACAAAUCAUAAUUUAUACAUUUACAGGGUAGAAUGUGAUGUUUUGAUAUAGGUACCCAAUGUGGCAUGAUUAAAUCCUAUCUAUCACCUCAACUACCUGUCAUUUUUUAUGGUCAAACAUUUGAAAUUUAGUUUCUCAAUUAUUUUGAAAUAUAUAACACAUUAUUAUUGAUAAUAGCCACACUGAUGUGCACUAGACAUUAAAAUCUAUUGCACUUGUCUAUCCAAAACCUUGUACCCUUUGAUCAAGAACUCCCCAUUCCCUCUCUCUCCACCAGCCCAUCCCCAAGCCUCUGGUAAUCAUUGUUCUACUCUCUACUUCUAUAAAUUCAGCUUUAUUAGAUUCCACAUAUAAAUGAGUCAUGUGAUAUUUGUCUUUCUGUGCCUAACUUAUUUCCCUUAGCAUAAUGUCCUUCAGAUUCAUCCAUAUUGUCACGAAUGACAGGUUCCCC
rnacentral:lncRNA from 10 species